UACAGAGGUGGCAAGCGUUGUUCGGAAUUACUGGGCGUAAAGGGCGCGUAGGUGGCCAUCUAAGUCAGACGUGAAAUCCCCCGGCUUAACCUGGGAACUGCGUCUGAUACUGGACGGCUUGAGUAUGGGAGAGGAACGUAGAAUUCCAGGUGUAGCGGUGAAAUGCGUAGAUAUCUGGAGGAAUACCGGUGGCGAAGGCGGCGUUCUGGACCAGUACUGACACUGAAUCGCGAAAGCUAGGGGAGCAAACGGG
rnacentral:rRNA from 1 species